rnacentral:rRNA from 1 species
ACGAACGCUGGCGGCGCGCCUAACACAUGCAAGUCGAACGGAGCUGAGAGAAGCUUGCUUUUCUUAGCUUAGUGGCGAACGGGUGAGUAACGCGUGAGUAACCUGCCCUGGAGUGGGGGACAACAGUUGGAAACGACUGCUAAUACCGCAUAAGCCCACGAUCCGGCAUCGGAUUGAGGGAAAAGGAUUUAUUCGCUUCAGGAUGGACUCGCGUCCAAUUAGCUAGUUGGUGAGGUAACGGCCCACCAAGGCGACGAUUGGUAGCCGGACUGAGAGGUUGAACGGCCACAUUGGAACUGAGACACGGCCCAGACUCCUACGGGAGGCAGCAGUGGGGGAUAUUGCACAAUGGGGGAAACCUUGAUGCAGCGACGCCGCGUGGAGGAAGAAGGUUUUCGGAUUGUAAACUCCUGUCGUUAGGGACGAUAAUGACGGUACCUAACAAGAAAGCACCGGCUAACUACGUG